AACGAACGCUGGCGGCAGGCUUAACACAUGCAAGUCGAGCGCCCCGCAAGGGGAGCGGCAGACGGGUGAGUAACGCGUGGGAAUCUACCCAUCCCUACGGAAUAACGCAUGGAAACGUGUGCUAAUACCGUAUACGUCCUUCGGGAGAAAGAUUUAUCGGAGAUGGAUGAGCCCGCGUUGGAUUAGCUAGUUGGUGGGGUAAAGGCCUACCAAGGCGACGAUCCAUAGCUGGUCUGAGAGGAUGAUCAGCCACACUGGGACUGAGACACGGCCCAGACUCCUACGGGAGGCAGCAGUGGGGAAUAUUGGACAAUGGGCGCAAGCCUGAUCCAGCCAUGCCGCGUGAGCGAUGAAGGCCCUAGGGUUGUAAAGCUCUUUCACCGGUGAAGAUAAUGACGGUAACCGGAGAAGAAGCCCCAGCUAACUUCGUGCCAGCCGCCGCAGUAAAAC
rnacentral:rRNA from 1 species